AAGCAGUGCCAUGGUAUUUGGGUAGAUGCGGUUGAGUCCUUUUCCUGGAAGUCGGUCAGCUGAAAAACAAUGUAAAUUCCCGGUUUUGAAGACUUAUUGCUCUCAAAUCUGCUGGCUUUUAAACGGAGGGGCCGGAAUAUCACAGAAGCCUUGGGAACAGCAAAGUCAAAAGAAUGGUACUUUUAAAAAUGGUGUCUUUGCUGUAAGGAGCAGAGCAUAUUCAAAACUCAUGGGAGCAUCUCAGGUCUCAGAUUUCUUGAGAAGAUGAAAUAGAUCGUCUGCCUUAAGGUUCUGGACCAGUGUAUGCAACACAAUAAACGUUCAGGGAAUGGUUGCUAUGAUGAUGACGACGAUGAUUAUGACAAUGUUGAUGAUGAAAUGAGUUGGCUUCAGCCCAGAGCAGAAUAUGUUCCCUAAUAAAGUAUGAGGAUGUCAGCAGGUGCCAUUUGUGUCCCACCCAAAGCUGCAAACUUUCUUAAAGUUUAUCUGUAGCUUCAGGGGACAAUUUCCAUAAUGACUGAUGGCAUUUUACCCCGGGUGUGGAUCUUCAGGAGGUUGCCUCUCCCUGGCUGCAGAAUUAUCAUUUUUAGAGAAGCGGUGUGAUAAUCGUGGAACCAUCCCCUACAUUCCUU
rnacentral:antisense_RNA from 1 species